rnacentral:rRNA from 1 species
UGUGAACUCGAAGAGUAGGGCGGGACACGUGGUAUCCUGUCUGAAUAUGGGGGGACCAUCCUCCAAGGCUAAAUACUCCUGACUGACCGAUAGUGAACCAGUACCGUGAGGGAAAGGCGAAAAGAACCCCGGCGAGGGGAGUGAAAAAGAACCUGAAACCGUGUACGUACAAGCAGUGGGAGCACCUUCGGGUGUGACUGCGUACCUUUUGUAUAAUGGGUCAGCGACUUAUAUUCUGUAGCAAGGUUAACCGUAUAGGGGAGCCGAAGGGAAACCGAGUCUUAACUGGGCGUUAAGUUGCAGGGUAUAGACCCGAAACCCGGUGAUCUAGCCAUGGGCAGGUUGAAGGUUGGGUAACACUAACUGGAGGACCGAACCGACUAAUGUUGAAAAAUUAGCGGAUGACCUGUGGCUGGGGGUGAAAGGCCAAUCAAACCGGGAGAUAGCUGGUUCUCCCCGAAAGCUAUUUAGGUAGCGCCUCGUGAACUCAUCUUCGGGGGUAGAGCACUGUUUCGGCUAGGGGGCCAUCCCGGCUUACCAACCCGAUGCAAACUACGAAUACCGAAGAAUGUUAUCACGGGAGACACACGGCGGGUGCUAACGUCCGUCGUGAAGAGGGAAACAACCCAGACCGCCAGCUAAGGUCCCAAAGUCAUGGUUAAGUGGGAAACGAUGUGGGAAGGCACAGACAGCCAGGAUGUUGGCUUAGAAGCAGCCAUCAUUUAAAGAAAGCGUAAUAGCUCACUGGUCGAGUCGGCCUGCGCGGAAGAUGUAACGGGGCUAAACCAUGCACCGAAGCUGCGGCAGCGACGCUUAUGCGUUGUUGGGUAGGGGAGCGUUCUGUAAGCCGUUGAAGGUGUGCUGUGAGGCAUGCUGGAGGUAUCAGAAGUGCGAAUGCUGACAUAAGUAACGAUAAAGCGGGUGAAAAGCCCGCUCGCCGGAAGACCAAGGGUUCCUGUCCAACGUUAAUCGGGGCAGGGUGAGUCGACCCCUAAGGCGAGGCCGAAAGGCGUAGUCGAUGGGAAACAGGUUAAUAUUCCUGUACUUGGUGUUACUGCGAAGGGGGGACGGAGAAGGCUAUGUCAGCCGGGCGACGGUUGUCCCGGUUUAAGCAUGUAGGCGGAGGUUCCAGGUAAAUCCGGUACCUUUUAACGCUGAGGUGUGAUGACGAGGCACUACGGUGCUGAAGUGAUAAAUGCCCUGCUUCCAGGAAAAGCCUCUAAGCAUCAGGUAACACGAAAUCGUACCCCAAACCGACACAGGUGGUCAGGUAGAGAAUACCAAGGCGCUUGAGAGAACUCGGGUGAAGGAACUAGGCAAAAUGGUGCCGUAACUUCGGGAGAAGGCACGCUGAUAUGUAGGUGAAGCCCCUGCGGGCGGAGCUGAAAUCAGUCGAAGAUACCAGCUGGCUGCAACUGUUUAUUAAAAACACAGCACUGUGCAAACACGAAAGUGGACGUAUACGGUGUGACGCCUGCCCGGUGCCGGAAGGUUAAUUGAUGGGGUUAGCGGCAACGCGAAGCUCUUGAUCGAAGCCCCGGUAAACGGCGGCCGUAACUAUAACGGUCCUAAGGUAGCGAAAUUCCUUGUCGGGUAAGUUCCGACCUGCACGAAUGGCGUAAUGAUGGCCAGGCUGUCUCCACCCGAGACUCAGUGAAAUUGAACUCGCUGUGAAGAUGCAGUGUACCCGCGGCAAGACGGAAAGACCCCGUGAACCUUUACUAUAGCUUGACACUGAACACUGGUCCUUGAUGUGUAGGAUAGGUGGGAGGCUUUGAAGCGUGGACGCCAGUCUGCGUGGAGCCGCCCUUGAAAUACCACCCUUUAAUGGCUGGUGUUCUAACGUAGACCCGUGAUCCGGGUUGCGGACAGUGUCUGGUGGGUAGUUUGACUGGGGCGGUCUCCUCCCAAAGAGUAACGGAGGAGCACGAAGGUUGGCUAAUCCUGGUCGGACAUCAGGAGGUUAGUGCAAUGGCAUAAGCCAGCUUGACUGCGAGCGUGACGGCGCGAGCAGGUGCGAAAGCAGGUCAUAGUGAUCCGGUGGUUCUGAAUGGAAGGGCCAUCGCUCAACGGAUAAAAGGUACUCCGGGGAUAACAGGCUGAUACCGCCCAAGAGUUCAUAUCGACGGCGGUGUUUGGCACCUCGAUGUCGGCUCAUCACAUCCUGGGGCUGAAGUAGGUCCCAAGGGUAUGGCUGUUCGCCAUUUAAAGUGGUACGCGAGCUGGGUUUAGAACGUCGUGAGACAGUUCGGUCCCUAUCUGCCGUGGGCGCUGGAGAAUUGAGGGGGGCUGCUCCUAGUACGAGAGGACCGGAGUGGACGCAUCACUGGUGUUCGGGUUGUCAUGCCAAUGGCACUGCCCGGUAGCUAAAUGCGGAAGAGAUAAGUGCUGAAAGCAUCUAAGCACGAAACUUGCCCCGAGAUGAGUUCUCCCUGAGACCUUGAGUCUCCUGAAGGAACGUUGAAGACGACGACGUUGAUAGGUCGGGUGUGUAAGCGCAGCGAUGCGUUGAGCUAACCGAUACUAAUGAACCGUGAGGCUUAACCUUACAACGCCGAAG